CUACGGGGGGCUCCAGUGAGGAAUAUUGCACAAUGGGGGGAACCCUGAUGCAGCAACGCCGCGUGGAGGAUGACGCAUUUCGGUGUGUAAACUCCUUUUAUAUGUCAAGAAAAUGACGGUAGCAUAUGAAUAAGCACCGGCUAACUCCGUGCCAGCAGCCGCGGUAAUACGGAGGGUGCAAGCGUUACUCGGAAUCACUGGGCGGAAAGGACGCGUAGGCGGGUUGGAAAGUCAGGUGUGAAAUCCUACAGCCUAACUGUAGAACUGCACUUGAAACUUCUAAUCUAGAGUAUGGGAGGGGGAGAUGGAAUUAGUGGUGUAGGGGUAAAAUCCGUAGAUAUCACUAGGAAUACCUAAAGCGAAGGCGAUCCCCUGGAACAUUACUGACGCUAAGGCGUGAAAGCGUGGGGAGCAAACAGGAUUAGAUAUCCCCGUAGUC
rnacentral:rRNA from 1 species